rnacentral:ncRNA from 1 species
AACGAUAAAGGCAAACCAACUGAAAAGUUGGGACGCAAAGCCAAGGGCCUGUAAAAUGGCAGCCGGCUACCGAAA